AUUGAACGCUGGCGGCAUGCUUUACACAUGCAAGUCGAACGGCAGCGCGGGCUUCGGCCUGGCGGCGAGUGGCGAACGGGUGAGUAAUACAUCGGAACGUGCCCAGUAGUGGGGGAUAGCUCGGCGAAAGCCGGAUUAAUACCGCAUACGACCUGAGGGCGAAAGCGGGGGAUCUUCGGACCUCGCGCUAUUGGAGCGGCCGAUGGCAGAUUAGCUAGUUGGUGGGGUAAAGGCCUACCAAGGCGACGAUCUGUAGCUGGUCUGAGAGGACGACCAGCCACACUGGGACUGAGACACGGCCCAGACUCCUACGGGAGGCAGCAGUGGGGAAUUUUGGACAAAGGGCGAAAGCCUGAUCCAGCAAUGCCGCGUGUGUGAUGAAGGCCUUCGGGUUGUAAAGCACUUUUGGCGGGAACGAAAAGGACUGUGCCAAUACCACGGUUCGAUGACGGUACCCGCAGAAUAAGCACCGGCUAACUACGUG
rnacentral:rRNA from 1 species